rnacentral:rRNA from 1 species
CAGCCGCCGCGGUAAAACGUAGGUGGCAAGCGUUGUCCGGAAUUAUUGGGCGUAAAGGGCUCGCAGGCGGUUUCUUAAGUCUGAUGUGAAAGCCCCCGGCUCAACCGGGGAGGGUCAUUGGAAACUGGAAACUUGAGUGCAGAAGAGGAGAGUGGAAUUCCACGUGUAGCGGUGAAAUGCGUAGAGAUGUGGAGGAACACCAGUGGCGAAGGCGACUCUCUGGUCUGUAGCUGACGCUGAGGAGCGAAAGCGUGGGGAGCGAACAGGAUUAGAUACCCGGGUAGUCCCUGUCUCUUAUACA